rnacentral:rRNA from 1 species
AACACAUGCAAGUCGAGGGGCAGCAUUUUAUUUUGCUUGCAAACUGAAGAUGGCGACCGGCGCACGGGUGAGUAACACGUAUCCAACCUGCCGAUAACUCCGGGAUAGCCUUUCGAAAGAAAGAUUAAUACCGGAUAGUAUACGAAUAUCGCAUGAUAUUUUUAUUAAAGAAUUUCGGUUAUCGAUGGGGAUGCGUUCCAUUAGUUUGUUGGCGGGGUAACGGCCCACCAAGACUACGAUGGAUAGGGGUUCUGAGAGGAAGGUCCCCCACAUUGGAACUGAGACACGGUCCAAACUCCUACGGGAGGCAGCAGUGAGGAAUAUUGGUCAAUGGGCGCGAGCCUGAACCAGCCAAGUAGCGUGAAGGAUGAAGGCUCUAUGGGUCGUAAACUUCUUUUAUAUGGGAAUAAAGUUUUCCACGUGUGGAAUUUUGUAUGUACCAUAUGAAUAAGGAUCGGCUAACUCCGUGCCAGCAGCCGCGGUAAUACGGAGGAUCCGAGCGUUAUCCGGAUUUAUUGGGUUUAAAGGGAGCGUAGGUGGAUUGUUAAGUCAGUUGUGAAAGUUUGCGGCUCAACCGUAAAAUUGUAGUUGAAACUGGCAGUCUUGAGUACAGUAGAGGUGGGCGGAAUUCGUGGUGUAGCGGUGAAAUGCUUAGAUAUCACGAAGAACUCCGAUUGCGAAGGCAGCUCACUAGACUGUCACUGACACUGAUGCUCGAAAGUGUGGGUAUCAAACAGGAUUAGAUACCCUGGUAGUCCACACAGUAAACGAUGAAUACUCGCUGUUUGCGAUAUACAGUAAGCGGCCAAGCGAAAGCAUUAAGUAUUCCACCUGGGGAGUACGCCGGCAACGGUGAAACUCAAAGGAAUUGACGGGGGCCCGCACAAGCGGAGGAACAUGUGGUUUAAUUCGAUGAUACGCGAGGAACCUUACCCGGGCUUAAAUUGCAACAGAAUAUAUUGGAAACAGUAUAGCCGUAAGGCUGUUGUGAAGGUGCUGCAUGGUUGUCGUCAGCUCGUGCCGUGAGGUGUCGGCUUAAGUGCCAUAACGAGCGCAACCCUUAUCUUUAGUUACUAACAGGUUAUGCUGAGGACUCUAGAGAGACUGCCGUCGUAAGAUGUGAGGAAGGUGGGGAUGACGUCAAAUCAGCACGGCCCUUACGUCCGGGGCUACACACGUGUUACAAUGGGGGGUACAGAAGGCGGCUACCUGGUGACAGGAUGCUAAUCCCAAAAACCUCUCUCAGUUCGGAUCGAAGUCUGCAACCCGACUUCGUGAAGCUGGAUUCGCUAGUAAUCGCGCAUCAGCCAUGGCGCGGUGAAUACGUUCCCGGGCCUUGUACACACCGCCCGUCAAGCCAUGAAAGCCGGGGGUACCUGAAGUACGUAAAAAGAAGGAGCGUCCUAGGGUA